AUACAGAGGGUGCAAGCGUUAAUCGGAAUUACUGGGCGUAAAGCGCGCGUAGGCGGUUUGUUAAGUUGGAUGUGAAAGCCCCGGGCUUAACCUGGGAGGGUCAUUCAAAACUGGCAGACUAGAGUGUGGUAGAGGGUAGUGGAAUUCCUAGUGUAGCGGUGAAAUGCGUAGAGAUUAGGAGGAACACUAGUGGCGAAGGCGACUGCCUGGACCAACACUGACGCUGAGGUGCGAAAGCGUGGGUAGCGAACAGGAUUAGAAACCCCGGUAGUCC
rnacentral:rRNA from 1 species